ACGUCAGGGCGGAAGCGCACGCUGCGUGAAGCGGCCCAGAACCCGGCGGUCACGGGAAUAUCCGUCGCGCCGAGGACGCUGGUUAGUUUCGCUCCGGGUUCCGGCUGCGUUGGGCGUGCGUGCAGCUCGCUGAGACUAUGGCGUCCGGGCCUCACCCGACCGCGACCGCUGCCGCUGCUGCCUCCUCGGCCGCCCCGAGCGCAGGCGGCUCCAGCUCCGGGACGACGACCACGACGACGACCACGACGGGAGGGAUCCUGAUCGGCGACCGCCUUUACUCGGAAGUUUCGCUCACCAUCGAUCAUUCGCUGAUUCCGGAGGAGCGGCUUUCCCCUACCCCGUCCAUGCAGGACGGGCUCGACCUGCCCAGCGAGACCGAUUUGCGCAUCCUGGGCUGCGAGCUCAUCCAAGCCGCCGGCAUUCUCCUCCGGUUGCCGCAGGUGGCGAUGGCAACGGGGCAGGUGUUGUUUCAUCGUUUUUUCUACUCCAAGUCUUUCGUCAAACACAGUUUCGAGAUUGUUGCCAUGGCUUGUAUUAAUCUUGCAUCAAAAAUUGAAGAAGCACCUAGAAGAAUAAGAGAUGUGAUUAAUGUAUUUCACCAUCUGCGCCAGUUAAGAGGAAAAAGGACUCCAAGCCCCCUGAUCCUUGAUCAGAACUACAUUAACACCAAAAAUCAAGUUAUCAAGGCAGAGAGGAGGGUGCUAAAGGAGUUGGGAUUUUGUGUUCAUGUCAAGCAUCCCCAUAAGAUCAUUGUUAUGUAUUUACAAGUCUUAGAAUGUGAACGUAAUCAAACCCUGGUUCAGACUGCCUGGGUAGUCCAUGAUGGUAAGUCAUAGAACUCUGCCCUCUGCACUUCAGCCCAUGACCUCAGGAUGGCCUGAUUGGCUGCCCUGCUCUCCAGCCAAUCCAGUGCAAGCUCUGAUCCGAGAUUCACUGAAGUGGUCCAUAUCCAUCUGGCAGCAUCUUCUAGUUCUGUCGGGGUGUCAAAAGGAUUUGUAUAUUUGCUUCUAGAAGUAACUAUUCAACAUGCCUAUGUAUAUAAUGUAUACCUGUAACUAUCAAAAUGAGUAGUUCAAUUUUGAUAGAUUUGUUGUCCAGCCAUUAUGAAUUAAAUGAUUUUUUUUGUUAGGAGUUUGACUUAGAUUUCUAUUUUUAGUAUGUAUACCAUGGAUUCUACCAAGGGAAACUACAACUUGCAGCUUAAAAUGGGCACCAUUCCCAUACUGGAUGAAUUACAGCUGCUGGACUAUUGAAGGAAUAAUAAUAGAAGUACAUUUUUAAAAGAGAUGUUAAUAUAAACAUAAGCACUUUAGAACUUGAACUUUUGACAUGAAGAUGUUUGAUUUGGAGGGCUGGCUUAUUUUAAGGUAAAACAAGGAAUUUGGUCCAGCUAUAACUACUUUUUCAAGACUGUUGAUGAUGUGCAGGACUUAUGUAAUUUUUAUGUUCUGGACUUAAUGAGUGCCAUGCUUCUUUAGGACUCAGUAAAUAUUAGUAAUAUUAGAAAAGUCUAAUUGCUUUUAUAAAAUGCAUGACAUUUUUAAUAUAUGCUCUAUAAAACAUUUACAGUUAUUUCAUGGGUAAGGAUUUUUAAGAAAUAGUCUUUUAACCUUUUAAACAAUUCGUGAAAUUUCUUUAAUACUUUAGGGAUAUUGUGGGGAGGGUUCACUAAUAAAAAAAAGUCCAGCAGUUAAAUAACUGAAGUAGUUUAUUGCUUUUGUUUAUACUUAGUCACAAAAAAGGUAUGUAAACAAGGCUGUUUUGUAUAUUUACUGCUCUUCCCUACCUAAAUUUUCUGAAGUAGCUGAGAUUUCCUAAUAUAACUUGGUGAGUGCUUACCGAAAAUGCCUUUUUUACCCCUGUCACAGUAUUUUGAGUUUUUGAAAGAACUUGGUUGACACUGCUUUUUCAUUGUGGAUAAAGGAGAGAUGGUCAAUAAUUAAUGGCUCGAAGUAUUGUUGGAGUGGUUUAUCAUUUCUGAAGCUAGUUAUGUCAAAAUUAGAAGUACAUAAAAACUUAUUUCUAAAGUUCUAUUUGGAAUAAUAAUAUGGAAUUAUUUUAAAGGACUUUGGUCAUAUAUAGGAAAACUGAAGAAUGGUUCUAGUAUUAAAUUCUUAUCUCUUACUGGUUUUUGAGUUAAGAAUUGUUGUAUGCUAGAAUAUGAGGAUAUGAAUAUAAAUAUGAGAAGAAAAAAGAAUAAAGUAGAUUGAGUCUCCAAUUUUAUGUAAGCUUCAGAAGGACUGUUUGUUUAUGUACAAAGCUUAUGGUUGAAAUAUUUUUCAGGAAUUAUAUGAAUGACAGUCUUCGAACCAAUGUAUUUGUUCGAUUUCAACCAGAGACUAUAGCAUGUGCUUGUAUCUACCUUGCGGCUAGAGCUCUUCAGAUUCCAUUACCAACUCGUCCCCAUUGGUUUCUUCUUUUUGGUACUACGGAAGAGGAGAUCCAGGAAAUCUGCAUAGAAACGCUUAGGCUUUAUACCAGAAAAAAGCCAAACUAUGAAUUGCUGGAAAAAGAAGUAGAGAAAAGAAAAGUAGCCUUACAAGAAGCCAAAUUAAAAGCAAAGGGGUUGAAUCCCGAUGGAACUCCAGCCCUUUCAACCCUUGGUGGAUUUUCUCCAGCCUCUAAACCAUCAUCACCAAGAGAAGUGAAAGCUGAAGAGAAGUCACCAAUUUCCGUUAAUGUGAAGACUGUCAAGAAAGAACCUGAGGAUAGACAACAGGCUUCCAAAAGCCCUUACAAUGGUGUAAGGAAAGACAGCAAGAGAAGUAGAAAUAGCAGAAGUGCUAGUCGAUCAAGGUCAAGAACGCGAUCACGUUCUAGAUCACAUACUCCAAGAAGACAUUAUAAUAAUAGGCGGAGCCGAUCUGGAACAUACAGCUCAAGAUCAAGAAGCAGGUCACGCAGUCACAGUGAAAGCCCAAGAAGACAUCAUAAUCAUGGUUCUCCUCACCUUAAGGCCAAGCAUACCAGAGAUGAUUUAAAAAGUUCUAAUAGACAUGGUCAUAAAAGGAAAAAAUCUCGUUCUCGAUCUCAGAGCAAGUCUCGGGAUCACUCAGAUGCUGCCAAGAAACACAGGCAUGAAAGGGGACAUCAUAGGGACAGGCGUGAAAGGUCUCGCUCCUUUGAGAGGUCCCAUAAAGGCAAGCACCAUGGUGGCAGUCGCUCAGGACAUAGCAGGCACAGGCGCUGACUUUCUUCCUUUGAGCCUGCAUCAAUUCCUGGUUUUGCCUAUCUACAGUGUGAUGUAUGGACUCAUAAUCAAAAACAUUAAAAACAAACUGAUUAGGAUUUGAUUUCUUAAAACCCUCUAGGUCUCUAGAAACACUGAGGACAUUUUCUUUUGGAAAGAACUAUGUUUUUUUUGUUUUGUUUUUGUUUUCUUGUUUUUUUUCUUUUUGGUUUUUGUUUUUGGGUUUUUUUUUUUUUGCACAUUAAAAUGCCCUAGCAGUAUCUAAUUGAAAACCAUGGUCAGGUUCAAUUGUACUUACUAUAGUUGUGUAUUGUUAUUGCUAUAAGAACUGGAGCGUGAAUUCUGUAAAAAUGUAUCUUAUUUUUAUACAGAUAAAAUUGCAGACACUGUUCUAUUUAAGUGGUUAUUUGUUUAAAUGAUGGUGAAUACUUUCUUAACACUGGUUUGUCUGCAUGUGUAAAGAUUUUUACAAGGAAAUAAAAUACAAAUCUUGUUUUUCUAAACUGCUUCAAAUAUCUUAUUUAAAUAAAUUAUUAAAAAGUAAAAAUUUAAUA